CUCGUAGGCGGUUCAGUAAGUUGGGUGUGAAAGCUCCGGGCUCAACCCGGAGAGGCCACUCAAUACUGCUGUGACUAGAGUCCAGUAGAGGAGCGUGGAACUCCUGGUGUAGCGGUGAAAUGCGCAGAUAUCAGGAAGAACACCGGCAGCGAAGGCGGCGCUCUGGGCUGGUACUGACGCUGAGGAGCGAAAGUAUGGGUAGCAAACA
rnacentral:rRNA from 1 species